GGAGGGGUGCCAGAGCGGUCGAUUGGGCCGGUCUCGAAAACCGGAGUACCGGCAACGGUACCGUGGGUUCGAAUCCCACCCCCUCCGCCA
rnacentral:tRNA from 1 species